AAUAAAAAAUUUAAAAAUUUUGUCCCAACGUUUCGCCGGUUAAGGCUUCUUCCUGAAGAAGCCUUAACCGGCGAAACGUUGGGACAAAAUUUUUAAAUUUU
rnacentral:miRNA from 1 species